rnacentral:rRNA from 1 species
CCUACGGGAGGCAGCAGUGAGGAAUAUUGGUCAAUGGCCGUAAGGCUGAACCAGCCAAGUCGCGUGCAGGAAGAAGGAUCUAUGGUUUGUAAACUUCUUUUAUAGGGGAAUAAAGGUAUCCACGUGUGGAUAUUUGCAUGUACCCUAUGAAUAAGCAUCGGCUAACUCCGUGCCAGCAGCCGCGGUAAUACGGAGGAUGCGAGCGUUAUCCGGAUUUAUUGGGUUUAAAGGGUGCGUAGGUUGUUAUUUAAGUCAGCGGUGAAAGUUUGUGGCUCAACCAUAACAUUGCCGUUGAAACUGGAAGACGUGAGUGUGUUUGAGGUAGGCGGAAUGCGUGGUGUAGCGGUGAAAUGCAUAGAUAUCACGCAGAACUCCGAUUGCGAAGGCAGCUUACUAAGCCAUAACUGACACUGAAGCACGAAAGCGUGGGGAUCAAACAGGAUUAGAUACCCUUGUAGUC